UGCAGCGGAGCCGAGGACAGAGAAUCCAUGAGACAGAAAGGGCAAAGUCCUGGUUGCUUGGCUCAUCUGGGGUCCCUGAAAGAACAUACCACAACAAGAGC